CGAAUAUUUACAUUGAGCGUUUUGCCAAGGGAGGAUGAGAGCUGCGUGGUAUCAGUGUUGGUGAAUCAUGCGCGUGAGGCGUGAGGCUCAUAGAUCGGCUCACUUGAUGCAGCCCAAGAUGCUGCCGUACGGCCACGGCGUCGUUACACAGCUGAGCUCGAUGCCGAACUCCUGAGAUGAACAUCGUGUCACCACUUGCCAGCCAAAGAUUCCCGCUCAAGUUGGAUGUUUCGUUUGGAGCUGCAUGCACGUCACAG